UACGGAGGGUGCAAGCGUUUGUCCGGAUUUAUUGGGUUUAAAGGGUGCGUAGGCGGCCCUGUAAGUCAGUGGUGAAAUACUGCAGCUUAACUGUAGCAUUGCCAUUGAUACUGUAGGGCUUGAGUACAGAUGAGGUAGGCGGAAUUGAUGGUGUAGCGGUGAAAUGCAUAGAUACCAUCAAGAACACCGAUUGCGAAGGCAGCUUACUAAGCUGUAACUGACGCUGAGGCACGAAAGCGUGGGGAUCGAACAGG
rnacentral:rRNA from 1 species